AGAUUGAACGCUGGCGGCAUGCCUUACACAUGCAAGUCGAACGGCAGCACGGGAGCAAUCCUGGUGGCGAGUGGCGAACGGGUGAGUAAUAUAUCGGAACGUGCCCAGUCGUGGGGGAUAACGCAGCGAAAGCUGUGCUAAUACCGCAUACGAUCUAUGGAUGAAAGCGGGGAUCGCAAGACCUCGCGCGAUUGGAGCGGCCGAUAUCAGAUUAGCUAGGUUGGUAGGGGUAAAAGCCUAACCGAAGGCG
rnacentral:rRNA from 1 species